GUGUGAAAGUCAUUACCUGUGGUAGUGAAGUGUGUGUGAUGUGUUUAUCCUCCAGAUGCUGCCUCCUCUGCUGUGACAAGGCACACUGCAGGUUCUGAUGACGUCAUCUACAGCCAUGUGGUCAUUUCACAUCAGGGAACGAAUACUGAGCAGCCACCUGAUCCAGAUGUUGUGUAUUCAUCAGUCAGAGUGGGACACAACGAACAUGUCUGGAUGAACACAACUGGAAUCUGACGACGAUGAGAUGAAUGGACGGUACUGCCUUGGGUUAAGAUGGUUGGACUCUGAUAAAGUGAAGUCAGCUGGUGUUUAUGAUGCUGAUGAGAGUUCAUCACAGGUUGGCGGCUCCUCAGCCAGUGGUUUCAUGACUGAACGCAUUAACACUGUUGUAAACCACAAAUUGUUUUUCCUUGGACCUGGUUUGAGCUACUACCAGAAUGUUUCCUGCUGCAGAAGUGAGCUUCAACCUUCAUGUGACGACAAACAAAAAUAACAUCGGUACAUUCUGAAGGUGGUGUUGUUUCUAACAUACUUCAUGGUACCUUCACGUUGGUGCCUUUGCAGGAACCAUGAAGUGUCGUCCAGCAAAAGUUUUACUAAUGUAAAACCAAGAAGCCUCUGGGAGAAAAUCAAACCAUAUAAACUUCUUUUAUUGUUGGAUAUUGUUUUGAGCAUCUGUAGUUUUAUUUAGCGAUUGAAGUUUAAAACAAAGAUUUCUGGGUUCAAACAAAUAUUUAAGAAGAACAGCAGCCACAACUUGAGGUCAAAUGUUUAGUUUAAACCACAUAGACUUAUUGUUCUUUCCCACAAAAUUAGGACAGUUUCAAAACAUUCAGGAAAACAAAACAGCCAAAGUUUAGCUUCAGUUCCUGAGUAGUUUCUGAAAGGAAAGCGCCCCCUGCUGUCAGAGAUCACUCUCUCCCUGAGAAGUCAGUUUGUAUGUAUUGGGUGUUUGUAGAGGUGUGUAAUGUGAUGUUGUAAUUGCACAUUUACAUUAUGUGUGCGUCAGUGCAUGUGUGGUGUUGUUAUUUGUGUGUGUUGUGUUGUUUGUAUGUCUGGGUGUGUUGUUAGAUGUGUGUGUGUUGCGUGUGUCAGUGUGUGUGUGUUGUUAUCUCUGUGUGUUAUGUUGUGUUGUGUGUGUGUGUGUGUGUGUGUGUGUGUGUGUGUGUGU